GCGGAGGAAAAGAAACCAACAGGGAUUGCCUCAGUAACGGCGAGUGAAGCGGCAACAGCUCAAAUUUGAAAUCUGGCCCCCUCGGGGUCCGAGUUGUAAUUUGUAGAAGAUGCUUCGGGUGUGGCCCCGGUCUAAGUUCCUUGGAACAGGACGUCACAGAGGGUGAGAAUCCCGUAUGUGACCGGUGGCCUCCCCCGUGUGAAGCUCUUUCGACGAGUCGAGUUGUUUGGGAAUGCAGCUCAAAAUGGGUGGUAAAUUUCAUCUAAAGCUAAAUAUUGGCCAGAGACCGAUAGCGCACAAGUAGAGUGAUCGAAAGAUGAAAAGCACUUUGGAAAGAGGGUUAAACAGUACGUGAAAUUGUUGAAAGGGAAGCGCUUGCAACCAGACUUGCGCGCGGUCGAUCAUCCGGGGUUCUCCCCGGUGCACUCGGCCGUGCGCAGGCCAGCAUCGGUUUGGGCGGCCGGACAAAGGCCUCGGGAAUGUGGCUCCUUCGGGAGUGUUAUAGCCCGAGGUGCAAUGCGGCCAGCCCGGACCGAGGACCGCGCUUCGGCUAGGAUGCUGGCGUAAUGGUUGUAAGCGGCCCGUCUUGAAACACGGACCAAGGAGUCUAACAUCUAUGCGAGUGUUUGGGUGGCAAACCCAUCCGCGUAAUGAAAGUGAACGGAGGUGAGAACCCUUAAGGGCGCAUCAUCGACCGAUCCUGAUGUCUUCGGAUGGAUUUGAGUAAGAGCAUAGCUGUUGGGACCCGAAAGAUGGUGAACUAUGCCUGAAUAGGGUGAAGCCAGAGGAAACUCUGGUGGAGGCUCGCAGCGGUUCUGACGUGCAAAUCGAUCGUCAAAUUU
rnacentral:misc_RNA from 1 species